rnacentral:ncRNA from 2 species
UAUGCUCCGCCCGCUGUCGGUUCCGCUGAAGCGGACCAGAGGGAACAUGGUGCGGCGCCAAAAGCGCCAAGGCCAUGGCUGCCCCCGCAACUGUAAGCGGUGAGCAUUUUCCUGAUCGCCACUGAGGCUUUUUUGUCUUGGGAAGGCUGGAAAACGCUUCGACCCGUGAGCCAGGAAACCUGCCAACAGCCUGAAAGAAAC